rnacentral:rRNA from 1 species
AAUUGAAGAGUUUGAUCAUGGCUCAGAUUGAACGCUGGCGGCAGGCCUAACACAUGCAAGUCGAACGGUAACAGGAAGAAGCUUGCUUCUUUGCUGACGAGUGGCGGACGGGUGAGUAAUGUCUGGGAAACUGCCUGAUGGAGGGGGAUAACUACUGGAAACGGUAGCUAAUACCGCAUAACGUCGCAAGACCAAAGAGGGGGACCUUCGGGCCUCUUGCCAUCGGAUGUGCCCAGAUGGGAUUAGCUAGUAGGUGGGGUAACGGCUCACCUAGGCGACGAUCCCUAGCUGGUCUGAGAGGAUGACCAGCCACACUGGAACUGAGACACGGUCCAGACUCCUACGGGAGGCAGCAGUGGGGAAUAUUGCACAAUGGGCGCAAGCCUGAUGCAGCCAUGCCGCGUGUAUGAAGAAGGCCUUCGGGUUGUAAAGUACUUUCAGCGGGGAGGAA